rnacentral:lncRNA from 1 species
AAUAAGUCUAAAACCUAUUCUCAACUAGUUUUCUUCCAUCGUACCCUAAUCAAGGAUUUGUAGAUCUUUUAAGACAGCUCCUUCCAUAUGGUUUUAUGUCUACCCCAUCCCCUUUUAACAUCUUUAUUCAUCAUAGUUUUAUACCUAAGGACAAUAUAUCCGUAUGUCGACUCAGGACAUUGACUAAAUCAUCUCAAGCAAUCUUCUCUCAGUUUAUCCUCAAUACAUGCUACUUGCACCUUCUGGCAAAUACAACUGUUAGAAGUGUAAAUAUAGU